CGGACGGGUGAGUAACGCGUGGGUAACCUGCCUCACACAGGGGGACAACAGCUGGAAACGGCUGCUAAUACCGCAUAACACAAGUAAUUCGCAUGAAUAACUUGCCAAAGAUUUUAUCGGUGUGAGAUGGAUCCGCGUCUGAUUAGCCAGUUGGCGGGGUAACGGCCCACCAAAGCGACGAUCAGUAGCCGACCUGAGAGGGUGACCGGCCACAUUGGGACUGAGACACGGCCCAA
rnacentral:rRNA from 1 species